AACACCUCAAAUCCCUCUACUUGUUGGAGGAGUUUGGACUUGAGCAAUCCCAACUUUUCGAAAGAGAAGGCGGGUUGCUUGAAAUGCAGGUGCAGCUAGAUUCUUUCUUCUGAGCUAUAAGCAUACUUAUUUAAUCCCGUCAAACGGAUUAUUACUUUUGCUGCAGCUAACAUAAAGGUUGAAGAGUCGCUAUGGCUGACUGAUGCAGGAUUUAACAUGUCGCGCAAGCGAUCUGUAA
rnacentral:misc_RNA from 2 species